rnacentral:lncRNA from 1 species
GAAUCCUAAUCUAAUUUGAAUCUAAUUCGAAUCUAAUUAGGUCAAAUUCAAUUUAACUCAAGUCCAAUCAAAUUAGAUUUGAUUUAAUUCGAUCUAAUUUGGUCAAAUCAAAUUACAUAGCAACAAUUGCAUCUAAGUCCUCCUCUAAUUCACUAACUCUUAGCAAGUCCUCUCUUGUGACUUUUACAAAUUAGUCUAAUAAUCAAUCAUAUUGAUACUUAGAUCUAACUAUGAUUCCAAAAAUAUGAAUCA